UCCUGUCAAAGAUGGUUUCAUCCUUUAAUACAACUAGUAGAGUUUUCCCCGGAUGGUGUCUGUCAAGAGCAGAGGCAGAGUUUUCAGACUGAACUCCUGGAGUUUGUGAUGAACAUCAUCCACAUGACAGGACAGGAAGAGGGCCAGUCUACUCACGUGACCAGAGAUGAUCCAUCCAGGUCCAAGCAGGACGGAAA